rnacentral:rRNA from 1 species
GAUGAACGCUGGCGGUCUGCUUAACACAUGCAAGUCGAACGGAAUCCUUCGGGAUUUAGUGGCGGACGGGUGAGUAACGCGUGAGAAUCUGCCUUCAGGAUCGGGACAACAGCUGGAAACGGCUGCUCAUACCGGAUGUUCCGAGGGGAGAAAGCUUUAGUGCCUGAAGUUGAGCUCGGGGCUGAUUAGAUAGUAGGAGUGGUAAUGGCACCCCUAGGGGACGAUCAGUAGCUGGUCUGAGAGGAUGAUCAGCCACACUGGGACUGAGACACGGCCCAAGCCCCUACGGGAGGCAGCAGUGGGGAAUUUUCCGGAAUGGGCGCAAGCCUGAAGGAGCAAGACCGCGUGAGGGAAGAAGGUCUGUGGAUUGUAAACCUCUUUUGAUGGGGAAGAAGACAGUGACGGUACCCAUCGAAUCAGCCUCGGCUAACUCCGUGCCAGCAGCCGCCGUAA